CAACAAUCAGCAGCACCUUGGCCGUGCACCUGUCCUCAAUCAGCACUCAUCACUGCCUGCACAAAAGCCUGCCAGAUCCAGGAAACCAUCGCCAGAGUAUUGACACACUAUUGUGCGCUCCUCCCGUGCCCUAGCCAGCUCCGUCUCUGCCCGAGGUAAAGCCUCACAUCAACCCCUGGUGUGCUGGGUUCUUUACUCAUUCCGAGCCACCCUUGUUCCCACAUUUCCCUGGACGUCGUCACCGAUCAACCACGCUCUGAAGAUUUCAUGGCAUUCCGAUGGACAUUGUCUCAGACCGAGGUCCUCAGUUCUCCU